GUUCCUUCAAUGACAUCCAAUAAAAUUGAAACGAUACAAAGAAGAUUAGCAUGACUCUGCCUAUGGAUCGUGGACAUAAAUAUAAACAAUUAUUAUUU